rnacentral:rRNA from 1 species
GACGGAGGGUGCUAGCGUUGUUCGGAAUUACUGGGCGUAAAGCGCGCGUAGGCGGCUUUGUAAGUUAGAGGUGAAAGCCCGGGGCUCAACCCCGGAACAGCCUUUAAGACUGCAUCGCUAGAAUCCGGGAGAGGUGAGUGGAAUUCCGAGUGUAGAGGUGAAAUUCGUAGAUAUUCGGAAGAACACCAGUGGCGAAGGCGGCUCACUGGACCGGCAUUGACGCUGAGGUGCGAAAGCGUGGGGAGCAAACAGG